rnacentral:snRNA from 1 species
GGAUAUGAGGGGGAUCUGGCUGUAACCUCUNUUAGCCAUUGAUGUGAAGAGGUUUUGAUUGAGUUGAUCUGGCUGACCUCACAGGGUCUGCUUCCUCUCUCUUUCUCCUUUGCAUCCCUGUGGAAUCUGUGUGCUGCUGAGGAGGAAGAUAAUAACUUUUCAAAUAGAGGAGAUGCUUGUUGGGUAAAGGGCANGUGGUAAUUGCAUCACCCUGUUAAAAUCUCCAAAGUUAUCACUAUCCAAGUUUCAUUAUUACUCAAGUGAGUUUGGAGAUUCAAUUUCUCAAAUAAAAUUUGGUGUAAAUGUUGCAUGAAAUCAUGCAUUCUUUU